rnacentral:rRNA from 1 species
UGGAGAAUCUUCCGCAAUGGGCGCAAGCCUGACGGAGCCACGCCGCGUGAGGGAAGAAGGCCUUCGGGUUGUAAACCUCUUUCAGCAGGGAAGAAGCCCUUUGGGUGACGGUACCUGCAUAAGAAGCCCCGGCUAACUACGUGCCAGCAGCCGCGGUAAUACGUAGGGGGCGAGCGUUGUCCGGAAUUAUUGGGCGUAAAGAGCAUGUAGGCGGCCCGACAUGUCGGCUGUGAAAUACCAAGGCUCAACCUUGGACGUGCAGUCGAAACUGUCGGGCUUGAGGAAGGCAGAGGAGAGUGGAAUUCUCGGUGUAGCGGUGGAAUGCGCAGAUAUCGGGAGGAACACCUGCGGCGAAGGCGGCUCUCUGGGCCUUACCUGACGCUGAGAUGCGAAAGCGUGGGUAGCAAACAGGAUUAGAUACCCCCGUAGUCC